ensembl:lncRNA
GGCAAAGUUUAUGUCUGUCCUUGUAAUGCAAGGCUUAGUUACACAUUCAGACUGAAUGUGGUACAGUUCUUUAAAAGGGUAAUGAAUGCAAGGUUUAAAGAGCUCCUUCCCUGACAAGGGAACCUCAGCAGAAGUUUUCCCACGUGGGUCACACCAAAGCAAAGCAGUGCCCAGCUUCUGCUCUAGCCCUGAGGCCACACAACAUCAUGCAGAGGGAGAUUUUCAAAUGAUGGAUAGGGAGUGGAGCUCCAGUGCCUAACUGAUGUUUAUACCUAUUGGGGAAAAAAUCCCCAUGCAGUCAGUAUUGUCGACAGCCCUGCUCAAAUUUCUCUUCUCACAACAGCAAAAAUGCUGCUGAAUGGAAUCCUGCCUGGCUGAACUGAUGGGAAAGAAAACUGAGGCAGCCCCGCAGUGUGCCAGCAAUGAUCCACUCUGACCUACUAACAAUCCAAACUAAAGGUGGUAACCUCCUGCUAGUGGGCUGUUUCUACAAAGCAUACCCUAUGCUUUGCUGCUUAGAGUGAUGAUUCCUUGGCUGGUCUGCAGAACUGCUGCUGUGCUGCUGUGGAUCAGCACUCAGCACCUUUGGAAGCUGUGCCUGUGGAAGUCAUCCUGAGGAUCAGUUACUCCCAGGAGAAUUAAUUCAGGAUUGGAUCCCGCUGUAUCCUGCAUACCCAUGGCUCCCAUCUUGGGACAUACUCAGUGACAUGUAGUAUUAAUAGGCCUGAUGGUUUGCUCCUGGUCUUGAAGAAAUCAACUGCAUAACCUCAAAAGACUUGUACAGCGAAGAAUCAGGCUCUGCCUGGGAUGCAGAGGAGGCAAACAAGCAAACCUAUGAUAAUCUUUGCACUAAAGAUUGUUAAGUGCUACUGCGUAAUGUGAAAAUACACCGGAUUUUUUUUCAGGCUUCUAUAUGCAAUAAUUUUACACGGUGAAUACAAUAAUGAUGCCUAAUAGUAUGUCUCCAAAAUACUAUGUGAAAUACAUAAUGCUGCGAUCAACGGUGAAUAAAAGCACUGAAAUGACAACCUUUCAGUUCAAACAAAGCACAGUAUUAAAAUUCUGGUGGAUGAGUUUGGAAACAAAAAUUGUCAGCUUCUGACUGAUUUAGUCACCUCUCUGGCUGGGUGUCAAAAUAGGUCAAUAGAGCUCUCUUUCCACAACAGCUAGAAGUAAAUGGAAACUCUGCUCUGUUCCAGCCUAAAUCAGUAGCAAAGGAGGCAGUCCCACUGUCAUGUAGCUUUUCUAUUUGUUACAUGAUACUCGGUGAUGUUAAGUGACAGCUGACAGGUUUUCAGCAAACCAAAACACCCUUGUCCCCAGGGACUGCACCAGCCCUCGCACCUGAAAUGUUUUGGCCCCACCAUGUAGAACAUGGCAGCACCCCCAGUCCGGCUCAGCCAGGCGUGGUGAGGUCAGUCAGCAGGCAGGAGGGCAGGGAACAGAGGCAGAGUGGUAAUGGCAGCCUGACCACAACCCCAGCGACUUGGGCUCAGUUUCUAAUAGCAACAAUCUCAAAAGCCUCUCUGUGCACAGCUUCAUAAUUGAGUGUUAAAUAAGAGUGCUGUGCUGCGAGCAGUGCAUCCUCCCUUACAAAUUCUGACUUCAUUUUCAGACUUGGUAGCCUAUUAAGUACUUCAGUUUGAAAAUUUUUAACACUUAAGCAGGCACUGUGAAAUUAAGCCAUGGCCAGGCUUAAACACAGUGAUUUCCUUUGCCAAGUAUUGCUUGAGAUCACUGUGUUCCUACUGCUUGGAACUGCAUUUCCAUGCUAAUACAUUGCUAAGAGAUUUUCUAAAUGUCCCUCUAGCUUCAUCGAAAAGCUAUAACUAACUUAAGUAAUAAAUUACAAUCACAGGCUCUAUGCACAUAAAGAAAAGGUGGAAAUGGAAUGAAGGCCAAGAAAAGAAGUGUAACAACAUCUUAAAACUUGCAACAGACUUUUCCCAUAAGUGAAAAAUAAUCCUUUCAAAAAUACAGGUCUCUCAGUCACAGAGCAAAUCUGCAACAAAGCAAAGCCAUCGGGGAAACUGAAUGUUUUAUAGUUAAGAUAGAACUCAGACUUUAGUACCUGAACAGAAAGCAAUGCCCUGAAAAACCGAAAUGACCAUAUAUUAUUCGUUGUAACAUCUUCAAUGAUUAGGUGAGAUAUUAGGAGGACAUUUUUCACAGAGGGUGGUGACGCACUGGAACAGGUUGCCCAAGGAGGUUGUGGAUACCCCAUCCCUGGAGGCAUUGAAGGCCAGGCUGGAUGUGGCUCUGGGCAGCCUGGUCUGGUGGUUGGAGACCCUACACAUAGCAGGGGGGUUGAAACUCAAUGGUCCUUUUCAACCCAGGCUGUUCCGAUUCUAUGAUUCUAUGAUUACAAUUAGUACAAACACAUUUUCUGUACCUACAAGUCUCAGUAUGAAUGUUUAUACCAAUAUACCACAGAUUUGUAUCUUGUACAGAAAUACAAUAAACUACGAUUUUUGAAACAGUAUAGGAACAGGAAAGCAGGCAGCUGAAAAAGAGGUUGAUCUACUGUCUGAUUUAUAGCUACUGCUUCUGUGCAGUUAGAAUUAGAUAUGUAGAGAUACAUAGCGAGAUUUUAACAUCUUUAUGCACAAGCAAGCAGCUUCAUGAAUCCUGGAUCCUACUGCAUUACAAACGCUACCAGCUCUGCUCUCUGCUUGCUCUGGACAAACACGUUUCACUGCUGGGUGGUUCAGAGAGGGGUUAUGGCAAAGGUUACUUCUGCCACUGGAAUUCCUGGGAGGAGAGCUAUACCCAGGGUGCCCUACAGCGCCGUAUCCAAUUGCUCAGACAAAGCUGGAGGUAAGAACAACAGCAGGAGGGACACAGACCAGCCUUGCAAUCAGAGUGCUUACAGAGAGACAGAGGACAGAAGAAUUUUGGGUCUGAGCUUUGCCAGACAGAUCCUCACUUUGCAUUUUGAAUCUGACACCCCAGGGGCUUUAUAUUUUCCCUGUGUCCAUCUGCUGACAGGAGGAGUUUCAGCUAGUGUUUGGGCUUGCAUUUUAGGGCAUGUGGAGAAACAAAUUAGCAGGUUACAGCAAAAUGUGCCGUAACUGCAUCAGUAGUCAAGGGAAGAGCCACCGAUGUCAUCUAUCUGGACUUCAGUAAGACCUUUGACACAGUCCCCCAUAACAUCCUUCUCUCCAAAUUGGAAGGAUAUGGAUUCGACAAGUGGACUGUUCAGUGGAUGAAAAACUGGUUACAAGAUUGUACCCAGAGAGUUGUGUUCAGUGGCUCGAUGUCUGGAUGGAGACCAGUGGCAAGUGGUGUCCCUCAGGAGUCAGUACUGGGACUAGUGCUCUUUAACAUCUUCAUCAAUGGCAUCAACAGUGGGAUCGAGUGUACUCUCAGCAAGGCUAUAGAUGAUACCAAGCUGUGUGAUGCAGUUGACACAUUCAAGGAACAGGAUGCCAGCCGGAGAAACCUAUGUAAGACCAAGCAGUGGGCCCAGGUGAACCUCAUGAGGUUCAAUAAAUUGAAGUGCAAGGUCUUGCACCUGCAUUAUGGCAAAUCCUACUAUGGGAACAAGCUGGGGGAUAUAAGGAUGGUGCACAACUCUGCCAAAAAGGACUUGAGGUGGAUGGCAAGCUGGACAUAAGCCAGCAAUGUACCCUUGCAGCGCAGAAAGCCAACCAUAUCCUGAGCUGCAUGUACAAUAAACAAAUGUACAGUUGGAAGAAUAGCACAGUUAGGAUGGUACUCCACAGGUGUAUAGUUGGAAAGAUUAUCAUGGUGGAAAAGAGACAGUCAAAGAAGAAAUGCUCACCCAUAUCCAAGAAUCCAGGCUCACAGUGGAAAACUCCAAAAAGGAGAGAUCUCCAGAAAGAGAUCCUUCCCCAGUGGAAGUCAGCCCUUAAAUUGGGUCUAGGAGAGGUGGAGCCAGGCUCCACCCCUUCCAGUCACUCAGGUGAAUUGCCUUCACUUGUGCUCCCACAGCUGACUCAGUCCUUUCCUCAGGUGCUCAAUCAGUGUUUCAGGCCGAACAGUUCCCAUCCACUCCACCCCUUCAUAGCAUGAACCAAUAAUCGAGCAAGCUAGAGGGUGAGCCUUCCCUAAUAGAGAUCCAGAGACACCACGAUGCUUAUACAAUUGCCUGUCGCCAUGCAGGUUGACACAAUUUAAGACGACUGAUGAUCAAUGUGUGGUUGAGGUUCAUGUUCUUUCAUGGGCCAGUGCUCAGUGGUGUUACUGGAAGUAUGCCAUCAUGUCGUGUAGGUCCAUCCUAUGUCACAUCAGUCCCACAUAGGCCAUCACCGGGUGUCGUGCUUGAUCUCACAGCAGCACUGGAACACUUCAAUGGUAUUUCGCUCCUUCUGUGAUCCUAGAGAUUCAAAUACUCACAGAGAGUAAUACAGAUGUUUCAGGGGUACCAGGAGGGGAAGAUCUGCCCUCCAGGGCAAGAUACAGGCCAUAUUCCUAUCCUGGGUCAACACUUCAGCUUGUACUGGGGCAUGCCCCAGCCGCCUCUACCAAACUCUUCGGCCAGAUGUCUGCAGCUGCAUAACUGUAUCAAAGGGGGUGUCCUGAUCUGACAUAGGGACAUGAUGGGGGGGUCCCUUUAGCAACGAAGAUUGGAGUGUUGACCACAAUAUCCAUAGGCCAUGUACCCAUUACCAGAGGGACUACCGAGCUUCCCACCUCCAGUAAUCUCCUCCAGGGUAGGAGGAGAUUGUGCAAGAAGGGCACACCACUUCGGUCCUACCUGUACCUACCAAGGCCAUUUUACUCUAUGGGUACCUGGUUGUAAAUUCUCAGGGGUAGGGACCAGAAGGUUAUUUUCAUUGCCAAUCUGGGGUUUUACCCAAUUAUCAGUGCCUGUAAUUUGGAUCCUAAGCGGGGAGGCCCAUGUUGUCUGUAGCAUUUUCAGGGCACUGGGUCUGCCAUCUUUAGGUCUUUCGUUCAGGUCCCACAGGGUUUCAUAGAGUCCCUUUGUCCACCCGUGCAGGGACUGUGAAUCUCUCUUCAGGGCAGCCUUAUGAAUACCGUUACGAUGUUCAAUGAGUCCUGCCCUCGUUGGAUUAUAUGGCAGGUGGAAUCACCAUCCAGUGUUGUUUUCUUCUGCCCAGUGUUGUAUCACGGUACCAGUAAAAUGAGUUCCUUGGUCACUCUCGAUGACUUGAGGUGUCCUGGAGGCAGACAGGAGCUCAGUAAGUGCUUGAUGGUAUAUGCCUGGUUUGCUCUUGGCACUGGAUAGGCCUGCAGUAGCCCACUUGCGGUAUCGAUGCAGGUCAGGGCAUAUCUCACCCCCUCAUACUGAGGGAGGGGCCCAAUAUAAUUGACCUGUCAUCGCUGGAGAGGAUUGUGUCCUCUAGCAAGAUGGGCUGUUGUUGCGGGCAGCAAUCUCAGUCUCAUCUUGGAGCAAGCGUCACAGUCUCAGCAUGCCUGGGUGAUGUCAGAUAGUUGCAUGGGCAACUCCCAUGCUUUAGCAGCUGCCCAUAUUGUCUUUUGUCCAGCAUGCCAUAGCUUCUGAUGUAAUCAAUGGGUGAUGUUCUCAGAUGGUGAAUCCUCAGUCCAUCAAACUUGGGUUGGUGUGUCCGCUUCGUCAUUUCCUGGUGAUUGUAAAGGUUGAUGACCAGAAACAUGUUAGACACAUACAGUCCUGUGUUUAACUGCAUUCCAUAUGUCUAACCACAUAUCUCUGCCCAAGAUUGGUCGGGCAUGGAUAGUCCAUUCUUGGGUGGCCCACUGUGCAAUCCAAAGAGUGAGCCCCCAGUACACGGCCCAACUAUCUGUGCAGAUAUUCAGGACACUAUCACCAGAUUCCUUAGUUAUAACCAUCCACACGGCUUGCAGUUAUGCCCAUUGGCUGCUCUGACCAUCCGUCUCUUCAAACCAGACUGUCUCAGUGGAGGGAUGGUAUGCUACUGCUCUCCACUAACUCAGGUUGCUCUUGCUGGACCCAUCUGUGUGCCAUGCAUCCUCAGGAAUGGGAUAUUUCCCCUCCUGAAUGGGACUCUUCUCUGGUGGAGCAACCAAUGUGUCUUUUGGUGCCUCACUGUGAUAUGUCACUGGGCCUACAAUCUUCUGGAGUUCUUUCAGUGGUGAUGAAGAUAGACUAUUCCUCUGGCUAAGAUAGGCGACCCAUCACACCACCAUUUAUGCUUGGCCACCCUCGUCUUAGGAAUGUGAGUCAGAUCUUUCAUCCACCCCUGAAUUGGCAGGGUGUUCUUAACUAUGGAUUUGUCAAUAAUCCUCACCCCAAGUUUUGGGGGAUGAUUAUGAAAUUUUUGAUCGUCCUUCAACUGCCUCCAUAGCUGGAGGAGGACAUGAUUGGGCUGGUGAUCAAUUUUCGCAAAUUGAACCCCAGCCCGGAUUAAGCCAUUAAACAUUUGUUAUCAGGAUACCCGUAUGGGUCCUGAUUGAGGAGUUCGUAGGGUGGGUCUCCUGGUUUUAGUUACUAGAAGGACCUCUGCCCCUUCCAAUGUUCAGAUACUGCACCUGGUCCAAAGGCGCUCUGUCUCCCCUAGAUCAGCUACCAGCUGGGCAGCCUGUUGAACCACGGACUCUGAGGCUACUAGGGAGUUUAGUAUGGAAACUAGAGUUCCAUACAGAUGGGAAGGAGCCUGUUGCAGGAUCAGGUCUCUCAUGCCUAUUGAGAAUUUUACCAGGUGUGGGCUUUGAAAUGCGUCUUUGUAUAUCACCUCUCUUAUACUCAGUUCGUGAAUAUAGUUUUGAAGGUCUUCUGUGAAGGACCAUAAACCUGUGUGUAAUAGUAUGUCAGAUUUAUUGGCCAAACCAUAUGGCAUGCUGCCAUCAACCAAUCUAUUAUCGAGUGAUUCUUGUUGGUAUACUGGACAGCAGCAUAUAGCCCCUAAGGGCAGGGUGAACAGUAAUAGAUGCCAAUUUACAGAUUUCUGACCCACUGACCGUAACACUUUCCAUCCAUGAAUCCCAUCAUCGGAGAAGCCAGGCUGGUACGCUUUCUCUGGGCUUCUGUCUGAAUCACUGUACCAAGUCCAUUAAUUCCAUGGCCAUAUAAGGACAGGCUAUUACAUGUAAAUGGAUUUGGGCAGGGGGCCACUGAUCAGGGGGCACCCCUGGUGAUCUAUCUUGUAUUUUGUUGUUGUUGUUUUUUGAGUUACUAUAGGACAGAUCUCAAAGGAAUCCAUCGCAGAUAGAGCUUUGAGAUCUGAUUUGGAAGCUUUGUCUUCUGGAUCCACUAGGUUGAUCAAUUCAGGAACCUGCGUAUCAUCUACUGAAAUGUUAUGGACCUGUUUUAUUGGGAAAUUUAGGCUUGAUUUUUUCCCCUGUCAGUAUACCAAGUUGUUGUUCAAGUUUCUCAAUCCGAUCUCAUAACAGUAGAUUUUCACUUUCUAAAGUAUUGGUUGUCAUUUCAGCCUGAUUUAAAGCAAUUAAUAGUGGCCAUGCCACAGUAGAAGCAGCUAGCUGAUGUUCUUUUGUAACUAAUAUCCCUUCGCUCAAUCCAUGAGAAUAAUCUGCCAUGUGGGUUGGGGAAGGAGUAUUUCUUGUAACCUGCAGGGGACUCCAUUUUUCAAUUAUAGUCACCAGUUCAUAGUAAGGUGAUCCCAGAAAUCCUCAGAUCUGUCUGGGAAUUGUUUUGUCUAGGAGGAAGUAAUGUUCUUCCCCGCUGAACAAUUUAAAGAUAUUCUAAAGGAAAUACUUUUUUGUUUUUUUGGCCUUCCUGGCUCACCAACUGUGUAUUUGGAAGAGUAGUGCAGUAAGGAUGGUACUUUACAGGUGUUACAGUUGGAAAAAGUAUCAUGGUAGAAAAGAGACAAUCAAAGAAGAAAUGCUCACCUGUAUCCAAGGAUCUAGGCUCACAAUAAAAAACUCCAAAUGGAGCAAUCUCCAGAAAGAGAUCCUUCCCCCAGUCAGCCCUUAAGUGGGGUCUAGGAGAGGUGGAGCCAGGCUCCACCCCUACUGGUCACACAGCUGAAUUGCCUUCACCUGUGCUCCCGCAGCUGACUCAGUCCUUUCCUCAGGUGAAAAAUCAGAGGUUCAGGAUGUGAUUCAAUUGUUCCCAUACAGUUGCAUCAAAGGAAACAUGAUCAGCAGGUUGAGGGAGGUGAUCCUGCUCCUCUACUCUGUGCUGGUGAGGCCUCUGUAUUAUGUCCAGAUGUGGGAUCCUCAGGACAGACAUAGACCUGAGGAAGUGCAUCCAGAGGAGGGCCAAAAAAAAUGAUCCAAGCAAUGAAACACCUUCCCUGUGAGAAUGGGCUGAGAGAGCUGGGGCUGUUCAGCCUGGAGAAGAGAAGGCUCUGAGGAGACUUGAUAAUGGCCUUUCAAUAUCUAAAAAGGGGCUAUAAGAAAGAAAAGGGCAGACUCUUUAGCAGGGUUUGUCGCGACAGGACAAAGGAAAAUGGUUUUAAAAUAAAGGAGAGAAAAUUUAGAUUGGAUAUAAGGAAAAAAUUUUUACAAUAAGAAUGUUGAGGCAUUGGAACAGAUCACUCAGAGAGGUGGUAGAAGUCCUGUUCCUGGAGACAUUCAAAAUCAGGCUGGACCAGGCUCUGAGAAACCUGAUCUAGCUGUGGGUGUCCCUGUUCAUUGCAGGGAAGCUGGACUAGAUAUAGAAUGAUAUAAUCAAAAGAUUAUAUGAUUCUAUAAGUCAAUGAAGAUAAGGAGGGAUUUGUAAAGUAAGUUUCAAAAAAAUCACAGUGUUUUGUAGAAUCAUGGUAGUUAAUAGUGUGAGGCAUUUAGAGAACUAUGGUUGCGAGCAUCUCAGAAAUACAAAAUAGCAUUCCAUAGGAAAUGCAGGGAAAAAGAAUGAAAAUUUGAAGCUAGCUCCACCCUGCAACAAUUUAAAACAUAGUUGAAUAUUUAAAAAAAAAGUUUAG